CACACACACACACAAGCUCAUCCUUAAACCCCAGUGAGAAACAGAAAUCUGAGAUUGUUGGGAAGGUCAGGGCGGAGAAGCCGCUAUCGUGUGGAUUAAUACCUCCCUAUUGCUGGUCAGUAAUUGCAGAGAAUGCAGAGCAAUACCACACAAAGGCCUGGCGCAUACCAGCCUAACCAGGGUAUGAUUGUGCACGGUGCACAAUGGCACUCUGACAAAGGGAUAGGGGUACAGGCUUCUUCACCGCCCCUCUGAGAGGAGUGUACGAGUUCAGCCUCUCUGCUCUUAGCCCCG